rnacentral:lncRNA from 1 species
CCACAGACCUUGUAGUUCACCACAUCCGCAUACCAGGGCAUACUCUCUGAAUUUACUGCUAGACAUUGAAGCUCCUUCAUAGCCAUUCCUGUUUGAUGCAUCUUCUUGCAUAUCUCAACGACCAUAAGAUGUUCUUCAGGCAUAGAGUCAUCGAUAGGGACUGGAUCUUCUAUUCUCAUUCUGGACAGGUGAUCAGCAACGCCGUUCUCUAUCCCCUUCUUAUCAACACUCU